UACGGUGACAUCACGUUGAAAGACUGAUUCUCGUACGAUCACCGAAGUUAAGCAACGUCGAGCCUGGUCAGCACCUUGCUGGAUGACCAUUUGGGAAUACCAAGUGCUGUAAG